rnacentral:rRNA from 1 species
GGGAACCCAGCCGGGGUAAUGCCCGGUUACUCUGGCCCGAACACAUAGGGCCAGCAGAGGCAACCCGGGGAACUGAAACAUCUAAGUACCCGGAGGAAGAGAAAUCAACCGAGAUUCCGUUAGUAGCGGCGAGCGAACGCGGACCAGCCCAAACCCAUGCACGUGUAAACAUUAGGGUGUUGCUGCAUGAGGUGUUGUGGGGCCGUCUAUUCUUUCAACCUAAUUUGACAGACGCAGUUACAAAGCGUCGCGGUAGCGGAACGGCAUGGAAAGGCCGGCCAGAGCGGGUAAAAGCCCCGUACGCGAAACCCCGGCGCCUGCGAAGACGGUACCCGAGUAAUGCCGGACACGUGAAAUCCGGUAUGAAUCAGGGGGGACCACCCCCCAAGGCUAAAUACUCUCUUAUGACCGAUAGCGAACCAGUACCGUGAGGGAAAGGUGAAAAGUACCCCGAGAGGGGAGUGAAAUAGUACCUGAAACCGUGUGCCUACAAGCAGUCGGAGCAGUAUUCGUACUGUGACGGCGUGCCUUUUGUAGAAUGAGCCAGCGAGUUGCGGUGUGCGGCGAGGUUAAGUUUUGAAACGAGCCGUAGUGAAAGCGAGCCUUUAAGAUGGCGUUUAGUCGUAUGCUGCAGACGCGAAGCCGAGUGAGCUAUCCAUGGGCAGGCUGAAGCGGGGGUAAGACCCCGUGGAGGGCCGAACCCACUUCGGUUGAAAACGGAGGGGAUGACCUGUGGAUAGGAGUGAAAGGCUAAUCAAACUCGGAGAUAUCUCGUUCUCCCCGAAAUAGCUUUAGGGCUAGCCUCGAUCGUUUAAUACCGGUGGUAGAGCACUGGAUCUUCUAGGGGGCUUCACCGCCUACCGAAAAGAACCAAACUCCGAAUGCCGGUAUUCCAGAGAUCGGGAGUCAGAAUAUGUGGGCUAAGCUGUGUAUUCGAAAGGGAAACAGCCCAGACCGCCUGCUAAGGUCCCUAAAUCCAUGCUAAGUGGCAAAGGAUGUGCGUUUGCCUAGACAACCAGGAUGUUGGCUUAGAAGCAGCCAUGCAUUUAAAGAGUGCGUAACAGCUCACUGGUCAAGUGGACAUGCGCCGACAAUUCACGGGGCUAAGCAUGGUACCGAAGCAGCGGACUGAAUUAUUUCAGUGGUAGGGGAGCUUUCCAUACCGGGUCGAAGCCGGAGGGUAACCGACGGUGGACUGUAUGGAAGUGAGAAUGCUGGCAUGAGUAACGAGAGAAGUGCGAGAAACACUUCCGCCGUAAGCCUAAGGGUUCCUGGGCAAGGCUAAUCCUCCCAGGGUCAGUCGGGAGCUAAGGCGAGGCCGCGAGGCGUAGCCGAUGCACAACAGGUUGAUAUUCCUGUACCACCAACGAGCGUUACCACCGAUGGGGUGACGGAGAAGGGUAGCUGGGCGGGGUUCUGGACGUCCCCGUGAAAGCGCGUAGGGCGGCGCGUAGGAAAAUCCGCGCGCCACGAAGCCUGAGACGUUAGACGAAGCAAUUGAGUGAAGUCAGUGAGCCCAUGCUUCCAAGAAAAACCUCUAGGGAGCUACGUUGGUGCCCGUACCAAAACCGACACAGGUAGGCGGGUAGAACAUACCAAGGCGAUCGGGAGAACUAUGGUUAAGGAACUCGGCAUAUUGACUCCGUAACUUCGGGAGAAGGAGUGCCCCUGACGGUGAAGGACCCCGCGUCCGGAGCUAUCGGGGGUCGCAGUGAAACGGCCCAAGCGACUGUUUAUCAAAAACACAGGACUCUGCUAAGUCGUAAGACGACGUAUAGGGUCUGACGCCUGCCCGGUGCUGGAAGGUUACGUGGAUGGGUUAGCGCAAGCGAAGCUCUGAAACUAAGCCCCAGUAAACGGCGGCCGUAACUAUAACGGUCCUAAGGUAGCGAAAUUCCUUGUCGGGUAAGUUCCGACCUGCACGAAUGGCGUAACGAUUUGGGCGCUGUCUCAACCAUAGACCCGGUGAAAUUGUAUUAUUCGUGAAGAUGCGAAUUACCUGCGGAAGGACGGAAAGACCCCGUGAACCUUUACUGCAGCUUGACAUUGGUUGUUGGUUCGGUGUGUAGAGGAUAGGUGGGAGACUUCGAAGCAGGGACGCCAGUUCCUGUGGAGUCGCCCUUGGAAUACCACCCUCAUCGUAUCGGCAACCUAACGUGCGACCGUGAUCCGGCGUGCGGACCGUGUCAGGUGGGUAGUUUGACUGGGGCGGUCGCCUCCUAAAAUGUAACGGAGGCGUACGUAAGGUCUGCUCAGAACGGUUGGCAAUCGUUCGUAGAGUAUAAGAGUAUAAGCAGGCUUGACUGCGAGACCUACAAGUCGAGCAGAGAGGAAACUCGGUUCUAGUGAUCCGGCGGCUCAGAGUGGAAUGGCCGUCGCUCAACGGAUAAAAGGUACUCCGGGGAUAACAGGCUGAUCUUGCCCAAGAGUCCACAUCGACGGCAAGGUUUGGCACCUCGAUGUCGGCUCAUCGCAUCCUGGGGCUGAAGUUGGUCCCAAGGGUAUGGCUGUUCGCCAUUUAAAGCGGUACGCGAGCUGGGUUCAGAACGUCGUGAGACAGUUCGGUCCCUAUCCUCCGUAGGCGUAAGAGAAUUGAGAAGGGCUGCCCCUAGUACGAGAGGACCGGGGUGGACGAACCUCUGGUGUAGCAGUUGUCGACCAACGGCAUAGCUGCUUAGCUACGUUCGGAACGGAUAACCGCUGAAAGCAUCUAAGUGGGAAGCCGGCUUCAAGAUGAGUUCUCUUUUCGGUAAGACCCCUCGUAGACUACGAGGUCGAUAGGCCGCAGCUGCAAGCGCUGCGAGGCGUUCAGGCGAGCGGUACUAAUCGGUCGAGCUCUUUAUCU